GGGCAAGUGGUGGAACUGGCAGACACGUACGGUUCAGGGCCGUAUGCCUUCACAGGCGUGGGAGUUCAACUCUCCCCUUGCCCA
rnacentral:tRNA from 4 species